CUCCUUGUGAUUGACCCAAUGGGACAUGAAUGUUCUUAUGAACAUAAAAUUCUGCGGAACUGGAGGAAUUUUUUUAAACUGAGAUGUGAUGAGCAAACAGUCCAGUGGCAAUUACGGACCCUGAAGCACGACCUGCAGAUGGAUUCCAGCAGUUGUGGAGUAUUGGUAUUGAAUUUUGCUGAACAAUACCUGCUGACAGGAACGAUCAGCAAUGUUCAGACUACGCCUGAAGCGGUCAGCUCAGCACGUAUGAAAGUAGC